CUGUUUCGACAUUCCAAUGAUGUCGAUUAACCAAAGAUAGAUAAGACGGAGAGACUUUCGAAGAGUCUAUAAUAACAGCAGGUGACCUUUUUUUAAGCGACCCAGCUUUUGACUAUGAUGCUAUUUACAUGUAUGUGUUAUUUCAGAAACAAGCAAGCCAAGCCAUAGAACAUGAGAAUAGCCAUCAGAAAACUUAGAUGGACUGCAGAGCAUUCAUGUAGAUUUUGUGUGUGAAUUGAAUAUGUUCCGAACUGUUGUUUAAAGCUAGAUGAUUGGUUCCAUGUUUUAUG
rnacentral:lncRNA from 1 species